rnacentral:tRNA from 1 species
UGAUAGUAAUAUAGUUAAGUUAAUAUUAGUUUGUCAAACUAAAGAUGGGGUAUUCCUCAA